ACUCCUACGGGAGGCAGCAGUGGGGAAUCUUGGACAAUGGGCGCAAGCCUGAUCCAGCCAUGCCGCGUGAGUGAUGAAGGCCCUAGGGUCGUAAAGCUCUUUCGCCAGGGAUGAUAAUGACAGUACCUGGUAAAGAAACCCCGGCUAACUCCGUGCCAGCAGCCGCGGUAAUACGGAGGGGGUUAGCGUUGUUCGGAAUUACUGGGGCGUAAAGCGCGCGUAGGCGGAUUAGUCAGUUAGAGGUGAAAUCCCAGGGCUCAACCCUGGAACUGCCUUUAAUACUGCUAGUCUUGAGUUCGAGAGAGGUGAGUGGAAUUCCGAGUGUAGAGGUGAAAUUCGUAGAUAUUCGGAGGAACACCAGUGGCGAAGGCGGCUCACUGGCUCGAUACUGACGCUGAGGUGCGAAAGUGUGGGGAGCAAACAGGAUUAGAUACCCUGGUAGCGACUGA
rnacentral:rRNA from 1 species